rnacentral:rRNA from 1 species
CACGUAGGGUGCAAGCGUUGUCCGGAAUCAUUGGGCGUAAAGAGCUCGUAGGCGGCUUAGUAAGUCGGGUGUGAAACCCCCAGGCUCAACCUGGGGACGCCACCCGAUACUGCUAUAGCUAGAGUCCAGUAGGGGAGUGCGGAAUUCCCGGUGUAGCGGUGAAAUGCGCAGAUAUCAGGAGGAACACCGGUGGCGAAGGCGGGUCUCUGGGCAGUAACUGACGCUGAGGAGCGAAAGCGUGGGGAGCGAACAGG